UCACCCUGUAUAAUGAAUCGACACUGUUUAUUAGUAUAAUCUAGUCAUAUUGUAUGCACAAAAAUGCUGUCUUACGGAAAAGUAUUCGCGAUCGUAUUUGGACGCUAGUGUAUCUAUGCGUUAGUUAAAUAUGCGGACGUGAACGUCUCAUAAUGGAUAUGUAAGCGCCGUUGGAACGUCAUUAGCAAACUAACCUAACAAGUAUUUGGUACAGAUAUGUAUAAUGUUGAUUCUUUAUUUGCAUUUUUCAAUCGUGUGAUUGUCUUUUUAAUAGUUAUCAUCAUUAGAAAUCUGAUGACUCAGAAUUUUCUAACUACGGUCAAUAAUUCUUAAAAAUCCAUUAUUCAUACACUAUCUUGUUCAUAAGCGGAAUAUCUAAAGAAUGACGCCAUGAGAACAACUGAUUCAAUACAGACUGUAGCUAAGAAGGAGAAUGCUUUUGUGAAAAAUCUGUGGAUUUCCACUGGAAUUACUAUGAAUAUUUCAUUCUAAGAAGAGCAUGAUAGGAUGCUGAUAUGAUAAUUUUUUGUAUGAUGUCAGUAACAUUCAUUUACUGAAUACUCGAAGUACAUAAUGUACGUUAAAAUCACUAAACAUAGACAUUCGCUGUUUCUUCUCUUUGUUUCCCGUGUAAAUUACUUACGUGUCGAAUCAAAUAUGCAUGAGCGCGUGCAAUCGAUUAAUCGAUUACUAUCAAGAAAUGUAAAUGAAUGCUGCGAUGAAUGUUUACGAAUUCAUUAAUAGACAACGCCAAGAAGGAAAAUAGUAAUUACACGAUUUGAAACUGAAUAGAAUGCCAAAUUUGGCUCUGCAAGCUACAAUUUGUACCAGUUACGUUGUUGAAAUUUAUCAAUCGAAUAGCUGUCCUAUUCUUUAACAAUAAAAUAAUUCUGUCGAUAUAAUGGCCAGAACAUAGAUUAUAAUAUGGUGUAAUAUGUUAUGAUAUUGCAAAGUAUGUUACAUUAUUGUGUGCAAUGGUUUAAUAUGUUGUAUGGUAUAAUGUGUAUAGUACGGUAUACUAUGGUAUAAUAUGUUUAAUAUGGAAUAAUAUGGCAUAAUAUGCUGUAGUACGGUACAGUAUGGUAUAAUGUGUUGUAAUAUGGUGUAAUAAGGUAUAACAAGUUAUAAUGUGGCAUAAUAUGGUAUAUCAUUGUAUAAUAUGGUUAAUAUGGAAUACUAUUGUAAAGUAAGGUGCAGUAUGUUAUAGUAUGGUAUAAUAUGUUAUUGCAUGGUUUAUUUAUAUUAAGAAACAAUAUAUUCUUCAAGAAACUAUUGUUCAUUCUUCAAUUUUAGAGACGUAUAAAUUAAAAAUAAAAAUAGUAUAAUAUAUCAUACAUUAAUAAAAUACUAGUACUUUUUGGAACCUACUUUUAUGAAGGUCACAAUUGAAAGGAAAAA